rnacentral:rRNA from 1 species
UUGAACGCUGGCGGUAUGCUUAACACAUGCAAGUCGAACGGAAACGAUACUAGCUUGCUAGUAGGCGUCGAGUGGCGGACGGGUGAGUAACGCGUAGGAAUCUGCCUGAUAGUGGGGGAUAGCCCGAAGAAAUUCGGAUUAAUACCGCAUAAUCUAUUCGUAGUAAAGUGGGGGACUUUCGAGCCUCACGCUAUCAGAUGAGCCUGCGUAAGAUUAGCUUGUUGGUAGGGUAAAAGCCUACCAAGGCGACGAUCUUUAGCUGGUCUGAGAGGAUGAUCAGCCACAUCGGGACUGAGACACGGCCCGAACUCCUACGGGAGGCAGCAGUGGGGAAUAUUGGACAAUGGGGGCAACCCUGAUCCAGCAAUACCGCGUGUGUGAAGAAGGCCUGAGGGUUGUAAAGCACUUUCAAUUGUGAAGAAAAGUUAGCGGUUAAUAACCGUUAGCCUUGACGUUAACUUUAGAAGAAGCACCGGCUAACUCCGUGCCAGCAGCCGCGGUAAUACGGAGGGUGCAAGCGUUAAUCGGAAUUACUGGGCGUAAAGCGUGCGUAGGCGGUUUAUUAAGUCAGAUGUGAAAGCCCCGGGCUUAACCUGGGAACUGCAUUUGAAACUGGUCAACUAGAGUAUGGUAGAGGAAAGUGGAAUUUCUGGUGUAGCGGUGAAAUGCGUAGAUAUCAGAAGGAACAUCAAUGGCGAAGGCAGCUUUCUGGACCAAUACUGACGCUGAGGUACGAAAGCGUGGGUAGCAAACAGGAUUAGAUACCCUGGUAGUCCACGCCGUAAACGAUGAUAACUAGCCGUUGGGGGGAUUUACCCUUUAGUGGCGAAGCUAACGCGUUAAGUUAUCCGCCUGGGGAGUACGGCCGCAAGGUUAAAACUCAAAGGAAUUGACGGGGACCCGCACAAGCGGUGGAGCAUGUGGUUUAAUUCGAUGCAACGCGAAGAACCUUACCUGGUCUUGACAUCCUGCGAACUUUCUAGAAAUAGAUUGGUGCCUUCGGGAACGCAGUGACAGGUGCUGCAUGGCUGUCGUCAGCUCGUGUCGUGAGAUGUUGGGUUAAGUCCCGUAACGAGCGCAACCCCUAUCCUUAUUUGCCAGCACAUCAUGGUGGGAACUAUAAGGAGACUGCCGGUGAUAAACCGGAGGAAGGCGGGGACGACGUCAAGUCAUCAUGGCCCUUACGACCAGGGCUACACACGUGCUACAAUGGGAAGGACAAAGAGCCGCGAAGCCGCGAGGUGUAGCUAAUCUCAUAAACCUUUUCGUAGUCCGGAUUGGAGUCUGCAACUCGACUCCAUGAAGUCGGAAUCGCUAGUAAUCGUAGAUCAGAAUGCUACGGUGAAUACGUUCCCGGGUCUUGUACUCACCGCCC